rnacentral:lncRNA from 1 species
CACUGAGAUCCUAAGCAGUUCAGUACAGUCAUUUGCUUUAAAGGCAGCAAUUUAUUUUAAAAGAGACUAGAAGAAAAAACAGCAAGAAUUAUGCUAUGACCUGGAUGGGAUAAAUGCAUCCUGCAGCAGAAGCUGACUCCGUGAAACACAAAACAUCCUCAGGAUUUAUGCCUCAGGAAAUAACAUUUGCAUUUGAGAAUGCAAGAACAAGGAUAGCAAGGAAUUUCAAAAGUCUGAAGAAAUGUAUGUGGGCUGCAGUCUGUGGAUCCCACAGCCACUGUACAGAUCCUCCCAGCCAGCUGGUGAUUUGUGGUAGCAUGAACUUUGAUCACAAGUCAAAUGAGUUUAAUAACAUGAAGUACAGCAUGUCCAAGUAAGAGCAGAGAGCAAAGCAUUAACUUGAGCUAACGCUGACUUUCUUGGGAAAAAUUUACAACUUACAACGUCCUUCCAGAUGAAUAAAAGAAUAAAAUUUGGUGUUUAAUUUUCUGGUUUAUUUCAAAUCC